rnacentral:ncRNA from 1 species
ACCCGGAGUAGAAGCUGUCAGCGCCUGCCUCGGCGCCGGUCAUUGCUCCCUUC